UACGUAGGGGCCUAGCGUUUGUCCGGAAUUAUUGGGCGUAAAGAGCUCGUAGGCGGUUCGGCAAGUCGGAUGUGAAAUCUCCACGCUUAACGUGGAGGGGCCAUUCGAAACUGCUGUGACUCGAGUCCGGUAGGGGAGUGUGGAAUUCCCGGUGUAGCGGUGAAAUGCGCAGAUAUCGGGAGGAACACCAGUAGCGAAGGCGGCACUCUGGGCCGGUACUGACGCUG
rnacentral:rRNA from 1 species